CCUGUCGAUACACUACAGAGACCCUGGAUUUUCUUCACAUCAGUCAGUCCUUAUGGUGAAGAAACCGAGGGAAGGCCUGAAACUUAUGCACCUUUAGGAAACCUACAUAACCAUUUCAAAUCAUGGGAUGCUCUGGAGAGUUUCAGGCUGACAUCAGAACGCAGCUGACUGUGCUGACUGGCCAUUGCUAAUCUUCACGCCCAG